UGCCAAAGCCAUAUCACCCUGCAGCCCAAGAUUGGUUACUCACGGAAGCUAAGCAGGGCUGAGUCUAGUCAGCACCUCGAUGGGAGACCCCAUUGGGAAAACUAAGUAGCUUUUAGAU
rnacentral:rRNA from 1 species